rnacentral:rRNA from 1 species
UUGAACGCUGGCGGAAUGCUUUACACAUGCAAGUCGAGCGGCAGCGCGGGGGCAACCCUGGCGGCGAGCGGCGAACGGGUGAGUAAUGCAUCGGAACGUACCCAGUCGUGGGGGAUAACUACGCGAAAGCGUAGCUAAUACCGCAUACGCCCUGAGGGGGAAAGCGGGGGACCUUCGGGCCUCGCGCGAUUGGAGCGGCUGAUGUCGGAUUAGCUAGUUGGUGGGGUAAAGGCUCACCAAGGCGACGAUCAGUAGCGGGUCUGAGAGGAUGAUCCGUCACACUGGAACUGAGACACGGUCCAGACUCCUACGGGAGGCAGCAGUGGGGAAUUUUGGACAUUGGGGGCAACCCUGAUCCAGCCAUUCCGCGUGAGUGAAGAAGGCCUUCGGGUUGUAAAGCUCUUUCAGCCGGAACGAAACGGUACGCUCUAACAUAGCGUGCUAAUGACGGUACCGGCAGAAGAAGCACCGGCUAACUACGU